UACGUAGGGUGCGAGCGUUGUCCGGAAUUAUUGGGCGUAAAGAGCUCGUAGGCGGUCUGUCGCGUCUGCUGUGAAAUCCCGAGGCUCAACCUCGGGCUUGCAGUGGGUACGGGCAGGCUAGAGUGCGGUAGGGGAGAAUGGAACUCCUGGUGUAGCGGUGGAAUGCGCAGAUAUCAGGAAGAACACCGACGGCGAAGGCAGUUCUCUGGGCCGUAACUGACGCUGAGGAGCGAAAGCGUGGGGAGCGAACAGG
rnacentral:rRNA from 1 species